UAUUUGAUUUAUUUCAGCCAAAUUUAGGAGAGGGAGGUCUGACUCUUCUAUUUCAUGUAUGGGCUGUAUGUACUUCUUAUACCAGUACCUGUACAGGGAAACAAACAAACAAACAAAACAAAACAAGUACUUUCAUUGAGGAGAAGACCAUGGCUUAGGGUAGUCUUGAUCUGUUUGUCCUGCUGGGUAGUCCAUCAGAAAAAGCAUGCAAGCUACGCGCCAACGUGAUCAGUUCUGGGACAGAUGCAUUCUAGAGCAGAUCUGGGGUUUGCAGCAUGCAGGGAUUUUCUUGCACCAAGGCCAUUCAAGGCAGCCAAAGGAGUCACCAGGGGCCAGCAAGCCCUUGCGAGAGCAGCUGAUGGGAUUUGGGCAGAGCCAGGAGCAGGCGCCUCCCUCAUUCAAAGGCAGUCCCUAGGGAGUGCAACGAACAGAACUGGCAGUCAGGGUGCGGUGUGGCAGUUUGUGGUGCAGCUUGCACAGGCCCGGGUGUGAGCAGGGAGGGUGGAGGAGAAUGAAAACUUAAGCAGAAGUCAAUGGGGAUAUUUUUGUUGAAACAUGAGGAGACUGGGAUCGUAAUUUUAAGGGAGCAAACAAGCCAAGGGUGUGCCCUGGAUACAUUCUCACUGAAAAAUAAAUCCAUGCUAAAAAAAGCAGGAGAAUCCUGAAAUUUUCCAGUGUCUCAUCUACCAUGGUUUCCAGCUGUCACCCAGUUUUAAUGUGUUUCCUCUUUUGUACUGGAGAGUAAAGAUCCUUCAUUUAGCUGUCAUCCAGACCCAGUGUUUUAGCCUGACACCUGAACUUAAUUUAGAAGAAUAAGAUUAUUGCACUGUAAAAUAAUUCUUAGUAUCUGCAUUUAAGAUAUGGGAGGAUUCAGUGUAGAAUCCUGUGUUUCCAUGGAUCAAAUGGCUACAGAGGGCUGCACCUGGAGUGAUUUGCUGAAGAAAAAAUAUUUCCCAAAGCGAAUAAUAAACUUGAAGAAACUGGAGAAAAGGCUUGCUGUAACCUAAAUGUACAUAUUGUGACCUGCAUGUUGGAAAUUUUGCCGUAUAAAGAAGCAGAUAUCCAAGCUUGCAACAGCAACUUCCACAUGAUACAUUCAUCAUGCUUACACCAAAAUCUUACAGUGGAGUACACACACACACACACAGCUGAAUGAUUUUUGCAGAAAUUUAAAUGAAAGCAAAGAAUUACCCAAUAUUGUCAUAAAU